AGGGAGGAGCGCCCUCGACCAGACAAUCUGUGUCACUACCCAGCACCCACCACAGUCUCUGCACGACACCCACAACAGUCCCAGCCCGAUACCCGCCACGAUCAAACGCUCCAACAAUCGCUGCUCGGCACCACAACAAUCUCAAACACUGAAAUGCUCCUCCCUGUGAUAGACUGAUACUGAAACGGUCCUCCCUGUGCUAGACUGACACUGCAAGGCUCUUUUGAACAUUAUAUUGUAGAAUGUCCAAUAUUGACUGACUUUCGCCCUCCUGGGCUAAGUUGCUGUGGAAUUUGCAUCUAAUGGUGCUGCUCUCGUUGGAUUAAUGUUGAGUUUGAUGUGC
rnacentral:lncRNA from 1 species